CUUCUGAACUAAAGGUCUGAACUAAACACUCAGGAUAACAAUGUUACUCCUCUUCAUGCUUUUCUUCACCAUUGCUGAAACUGAGGCUGCUGAAAACAGCAUUAAACCAGUCCAAACCACUAUGUCUGGAACCGAAGGCAGCAACAUCACACUGUCCUGCACAUAUACUGGAUCAGUUCGGAGUCUUCACUGGUACCAACAAAAACCUGGAUCAAGACCAGAGUUUCUGCUGCUGAUUGAUGAAGUCACUGAACGUGUCACACCAGCUGAACCACCUCAUCCACGAUUGUUCAUUAAACUUGAUAAAACGAGUAAGAAAGUGGAUCUGUUCAUCUCCUCUGCUGCAGCAAAGGGCACAGUGGAAACGCUACCUGGUCGUGGCAGAAAGAAGAUCCUGACGGCGACUGCUGUGCGCUACCUGAAGUGCCAGGUGGAUAAAAAUCCCCAUGUGACUGGUGAGGAACUGAAAAAAGAUCUGUCAGAUGUGGGCAUUGAGGUUUCAGCACAGACAAUAAGCAGUUCUAACAUUAACCUGCUGCUGCUGCUGCACACAUGA